CCGCCCUCACGCCGCGGCUGCCGGGGAACUGCUCCCGGGGCCGGCCCCGCACCGCCCGUGCCGCUUUUAGAGCUCGUUGGGUCACGGAACCAAAGCAAAGGAUGUGGUCGUUCCAGUAUAUCGCUUUUAUAUGAAGCGUUUUAUCAAGUCACUCCUAAUUCAGAGGAUCUCGUGAGCUGGAAGGACCCACAAGGACCACCCAGUGCCACCUUGUCCCUGCACAGACACCCCAACAGUCCCACCCUGGGCAUCCCUGGAGCACUGUCCAAAGGCUCCUGGAGCUCUGUGGGGCCCUGCGCAUUCCCUGGGGAGCCUGGGCAGUGCCAGCACCCUCUGGGGAAGAACCUUUCCCUGCUCUCCAGCCUAAACCCCUCCAGACACAGCUCCAGCCGUUCUCUCGGUGCUGUCGCUGUCACAGGGAGCGGGGCCCAGAGCUGCAGCCCCAGUGCACUCUGACCUCCGUCUCCUCCAGGCUCAAGAGGCUGAGCGCCCCUGCAGACCCCAGCCCUUCCCACCCAGACACAUUCGGGAAUGUUUUCCUGCCCGGCUGUGCUCAGGAGCUCCCAGGAACAGUGCACUGCUGUGAGAGAAGGGUUUAUGAUCCAGCUGGCACUUGUCCAUCCUGUCCCUAGGUUACAGGGCACCCGUCUCCGUUUAAAACACCUUGAGGAAUAACAUGAGUCUCCAGCAGGAAGCAAGGAUUGCAUUUUCAGGGCUGCUCUUACAUCUCUGCCAUACAUUACCGCUCGUUGCCACUAGAUGUUUUCAGUCCCAAGGCAGUCCUUGAGCUGCGGGACCCCGGAGCGAUUGGCACAGGCACCAGUUGUGCAAUUCUCUGUCUGAGGGCGCCGAAGUGCAGUGAGGCAAAGUAGUGGGUCGGAGUUCUGAGCUGGCUUAACAGGCACCGCUGACAUGGCUAACAGAACAAACUCCUCUGAGUAUUUCUGGUCUUAUGAAUAUUACUGGGAUUACAUAGAUCCAAUUCCAGUAGAUGGAAGCAAGCUGAAGGUUAAUAAAUACUCCAUCGUCAUCGCCUUCUGGGUGGGCCUCGCUGCCUUCGUGACUUUUCUUUUCCUUAUUCUGCUGUGUAUGUCCUGCUCUGGAUCCACGCCAGCAAACACGGCCACGAACGGGAGCGCGGGGUCGGGCAGGAGCUCAUUAGGCAGUGACUGCACUCGCGCUAAUUAAUGGGCGCGAGAGCACCAGGGCAGAUCCUGGUGCAAGGAUGGAGCGCUUGCCAGCGGAAUCUGUUGGAAUCACUCUGCGAUCCCAGCGGUUCGAAGUUUGGGAAUGCUGCGGGACAUGCUCAAGGCGUCAGUAAUGUUUUUUCAAAGAAACCCACCACGGAGUGGUGGAAGAAAACAAUAAACAAUAAAUAUUGCCUAUUUACUGACAGUGUCUUUGCCUUUUGUGAUGUUGGCCGGCUCCACGGGGGUAAAUUAACUUCAGGAGGAGCUUUUGCUGCUGUUCUUGCUCGUGUGUUGGAAUACAGCAGAGUCCUUGUCACUUUACACCUCCGGAAACACAAAUUCAGCAGAAUUUCAGUUCGCCUGAGCUCGGAUCGGUACAGUUGGAUCCGCCUCGGUUCGCCAUAUUUCGGCUAGAUUCGGCAGAAGUCGGUUAGGCUCGGCGAAACUCGGAGCCGCUCGCUCCGUCCGGCUCGGCUCGGCUCGGCUGAACUCGGAGCCACCCGCUCUGUACGGCUGAGCUCGGCU